rnacentral:tRNA from 12 species
GGGGCCAUAGCUCAGUUGGUAGAGCGCUUGAAUGGCAUUCAAGAGGUCAGGGGUUCGAUUCCCCUUGGCUCCACCA